rfam:Hordeum vulgare subsp. vulgare, WGS project CAJW01000000 data, contig: morex_contig_38972
AAUAUACUUCCUCCGUUCUAAAAUUAUUGUCUUAGCUUUGUCUAGAAAUGAAUGUAUCUAGAUACUAAAAUUUAAUUAGAUACAUUCAUAUCUAAACAAAUCUAAGAUAAAAAAAAUUAGGACGAAGGAAGUACAAA